rnacentral:misc_RNA from 1 species
UUUAGUUUUGUAAUUAAUUAAAGCAACAGUGGCCACUCAUAUAUAAUUAUGUGGUCAACAUGUUUAUAAUGGGUUCGGAAAUCCAUGAAGAACUGCAUGUAUGCCUGAAACUAAUUAUGCAAUUAUUGAUGUAUAUUUCUGUCAGUUUCCUUUAGUAAUAGUUAAUUCAAAUAAAAAUAUUGGAAUUAUAAAAAACAUGUUUGACUGAAAGAGAAAAAUGGAACAUAUUGGUGUUUCGAAACAAAUUGGAUUUUAUAUUAAAGAGAUACGAAAACUGAACAA